rnacentral:rRNA from 1 species
AGUGAACGCUGGCGGUAGGCCUAACACAUGCAAGUCGAACGGCAGCACAGUAAGAGCUUGCUCUUACGGGUGGCGAGUGGCGGACGGGUGAGGCAUACAUCGGAAUCUACUUUUUCGUGGGGGAUAACGUAGGGAAACUUACGCUAAUACCGCAUACGACCUACGGGUGAAAGCAGGGGAUCUUCGGACCUUGCGCGAUUGAAUGAGCCGAUGUCGGAUUAGCUAGUUGGCGGGGUAAAGGCCCACCAAGGCGACGAUCCGUAGCUGGUCUGAGAGGAUGAUCAGCCACACUGGAACUGAGACACGGUCCAGACUCCUACGGGAGGCAGCAGUGGGGAAUAUUGGACAAUGGGCGCAAGCCUGAUCCAGCCAUACCGCGUGGGUGAAGAAGGCCUUCGGGUUGUAAAGCCCUUUUGUUGGGAAAGAAAAGCAGCAGGUUAAUACCCCGAUGUUCUGACGGUACCCAAAGAAUAAGCACCGGCUAACUUCGUG